rfam:Peptoniphilus indolicus ATCC 29427 genomic scaffold SCAFFOLD3, whole genome shotgun sequence.
UACUAAGUUUUGAAGUGGAAAAGUAAAUGAUUAAAUUUCUAUCAGAGAGAUACUGGUUGGUGCGAAGUAUCAGAAAAGAAUUAUUGAAAAUCACCACUGAGCUGUAAUGCUGAAUUGAGUAAGUAUUAUCGGGAGCUCCCGUUACAGAGCUAUUCAUUAUUGGAUCAGAGUGCAUCAUAAAGAUGAAGAAGAGUGGUACCGCGGAGGAUUAUAUAGUCUUUCGUCUCUUUU